AAAAUACGGGAGGCAGCAGGUAAGAAUAUUCCGCAAUGGGGGAACCCUGACGGAGCGACGCCGCGUGAACGAAGAAGGCCGGAAGGUUGUAAAGUUCUUUUCUGUCCGAGGAAUAAGUGUAGGAGGAAAUGCCUGCAUGGUGACGGUAGGGCAGGAAUAAGCACCGGCUAAUUACGUGCCAGCAGCCGCGGUAAUUUUU
rnacentral:rRNA from 1 species